ACCCUCUUCCCCUCGGCCACGCCCCUAGUUAGCGUGUAAGCGGCUAGCUAUUCGCUAGUGUCAAAACACUGUUGCAUAAAACUGGCACAUCAGGGGGAAAACGGAGUGAAUCUCCGUCGUGUACGUCUUUUCUAAACUGUUCGCUGUGCUGUUGCCUGUGAGAGGUAUGUGACUGCGUACCAGACGCUUCCGGGUAGCAUAUUGUUGAGCUACCGAAGGUCUGUGCUGGAAGACGAUAUAUGUACGCGCACUCUGUUUUGCCUUUUGGAACGCCAGUCAAGGUUUGCACACGGGGAGAUAACUGGAAUCCGAUUUCCAUCUAGGUGGAAUGUUGUACCCAUAGAGAACUAGAGGGUUGAAGCUGUGUCGGAUCGGAGUCCUCCUCUUCGCGCACCGCACACCGUAUUUGUAGUGGUAACGUUCACCUCACCAUUUGCAGUGAUUUAUAUUUUGUAGUGAGUGUGUGUGUGUAUGCGUGUGCCUCUGUGUGAAUAGGCAAUUGAAUCAGCAGCACGGGUGGUGUGUCGGUCUCACUCCGCUUCCAGGACAGGUAACCCCUUCUAAACAGCUGAUCCAUUAAAGCCAUUAUUUUUCUUGUGCAUCUUCAAAGUCCUGGUGGCAGCCACUACCUCCCUCUGACCGGCCUAUGGGGCCUACUCAGUGUCAUCAUUCUGAGAAAUAAACCCCAGACUGUUUUUUACUGCAUUAUUUAAUAAACAUUGUUAUACUUUUAUACGGCAA